AUUGAACGCUGGCGGCAGGCCUAACACAUGCAAGUCGAACGGUAGCACAGAGGGCUUGCUCUCGGGUGACGAGUGGCGGACGGGUGAGUAAUGUCUGGGAAACUGCCUGAUGGAGGGGGAUAACUACUGGAAACGGUAGCUAAUACCGCAUAACGUCGCAAGACCAAAGAGGGGGACCUUCGGGCCUCUUGCCAUCAGAUGUGCCCAGAUGGGAUUAGCUAGUAGGUGGGGUAACGGCUCACCUAGGCGACGAUCCCUAGCUGGUCUGAGAGGAUGACCAGCCACACUGGAACUGAGACACGGUCCAGACUCCUACGGGAGGCAGCAGUGGGGAAUAUUGCACAAUGGGCGCAAGCCUGAUGCAGCCAUGCCGCGUGUAUGAAGAAGGCCUUCGGGUUGUAAAGUACUUUCAGCGGGGAGGAAGGUGUUGUGGUUAAUAACCACAGCAAUUGACGUACC
rnacentral:rRNA from 1 species